UCUACGGGAGGCAGCAGUGAGGAAUAUUGGUCAAUGGCCGUAAGGCUGAACCAGCCAAGUCGCGUGAAGGAAGAAGGAUCUAUGGAUUGUAAACCUCUUUUAUCGGGGAAUAAAGGUAUCCACGUGUGGAUAUUUGCAUGUAACCUGUGAAUAAGCAUCGGCUAACUCCGUGCCAGCAACCGCGGUAAUGCGGGGGAUGCGAGCGUUAACCGGAUUUAUUGGGGUUAAAGGGUGUGUAGGUUGUUUUUUAAGUCAGCGGUGAAAGUUUGUGGCUCAACCAUAAAAUAGCCGUUGAAACUGGAAGACUUGAGUGUGUUUGAGGUAGGCGGAAUGCGUGGUGUAGCGGUGAAAUGCAUAGAUAUCACGCAGAACUCCGAUUGCGAAGGCAGCUUAC
rnacentral:rRNA from 1 species